AAACCUCCCCAAAUCCAACAUUUCCUGCAUGUCCAAAAUGGGAGACAGGCGCCUGAGUAACCCGGGGCAAGAUGAGACUGCAAAGAAGCAUAAAAUGAAUAGACAAUCCAACCAACCAAAGGAAAUUGCUUUGGAGAUGAGGAAACAAACUCUUAUGGAGACCUAAGAGACUGAAGACAUCUGGCGUGGACUACUCUGAUGGUAAAAUUGAAAGUACACCUAAAUUUGCUUUGUUACAGGAUUCUCUUCAGAGGACAAGAGAAGAUGUUACAUUCUCUGCAUGAGGACAAUUCUGCAGCAUCAAAAUCGAAUAAUAUUUGUUUUCUGGCAGCAGAAUUUUGUAUCAUAUUUCUAAAGACAGUAAGCACUUGGGUGGACGUCAAUGAAUACUAAACACUAAUUGAUCUGAUACAGCCGUAUGCACAUACACAGAUAUACAUGGUGGCUUGUAAUGGUUGAAAAAUUACGGUUUGGUUUUAUUAAAAGAUCUGUCACUUUUAGGUCAGAGUGGGAUUUUGGAGGGAUAGUCUCCCACAAUAGAAAACUACCCUGACAACAGUGGUGUUUUGAGGUUGUUUGUUGUUUGGCUUCUUGAUGAUGCUUAGCUAAGGAGACACUUCCUUUCAGAUUCUGUCUUCCAAACCCCAGGGCUCUGUUCUGGGCAGUUCAGCCUAAUGGAAUUAAGCCUGACAUGUUUCAACUCUAUUUCUUGAUAAAAUAAACAUAAAACAAUGGUUUAGAUUUCGAAUAAAACUCUUGAAGCAUGGGGUACUCUAACUUUCCCUGUUCUUUACACAUCUGUAAAUAAAGUGCAUAAAAGAGGAA
rnacentral:lncRNA from 1 species